rnacentral:rRNA from 1 species
UACAGAGGUCUCAAGCGUUGUUCGGAUUCAUUGGGCGUAAAGGGUGCGUAGGCGGCGCGGUAAGUCGGGUGUGAAAUCUUGGAGCUUAACUCCGAAACUGCAUUCGAUACUGCCGUGCUUGAGGACUGGAGAGGAGACUGGAAUUUACGGUGUAGCGGUGAAAUGCGUAGAUAUCGUGAAGAAGGCCUGUGGCGAAAGCAAGAUUCUGGGUGACGACUGACGCUGAGGCACGAAAGCCAGGGGAGCAAACGGG